GAAAAGUUUUGAACAUGCUGACCUUGCAGUUCAACAUUUAACAUUUGAUUUAUUCUCUCUUAGUUCCUGCCCUCAAAAAAUACACGUGCCAAAAAAUUUCGUGCUAAUGUUCUUCAGUGUUUGGGAUCAUGCAUUGGACAUUAUGAAUGGCUGACACCUCAAGUUGCUUUUUGGCUCUAAGAAUGUUUGCUGGUCAUAUUUUGACCGAUAUGUUUACUGGUCAUAUUUUGACUGAUUGACCAAGCCAUCCUAUGUGUUACAAUAUAUCCAUGUUCUCAACCAGCAUCAUGAAACUAGUUCAUGCUUUUGUUAUGAAAAAAUGUGUUUAGCUUAUUAGGUUGGUUUGAAGUUGGGAACUGCCAAUGUGAUUUUGAUUAUUAUACUGUUCACUGUUUGACUUCAUCUUGUCUAAAAUUUUGUUUUAAGUUCCUUGACAUCUAUAAAUAAAGAAUGAGAUUUGAUGAGACUGAAAAUGCAUUGUAGAUCAUCCAUGGAUGCGAGCAGAUGGUGAUGCAUCUGAUAGGCCUCUUGAUAUUGCUGUUUUAAGUAGAAUGAAACAAUUCAGAGCAAUGAACAAACUUAAAAAGGUAGCUCUAAAGGUAAUUGCCGAAAACCUUUCUGAGGAAGAAAUUAUGGGCUUGAAGGAAAUGUUCAAAUCCAUGGACAC
rnacentral:misc_RNA from 1 species